AUCCAGGUAGCUCCAUUGGUAGAGCAGGAGAGUCUUAAUCUCAGGGUCAUAGAUUCGAGCCCUGGAUUGGGCG